rnacentral:rRNA from 1 species
GGCAAACGGGUGCGUAACACGUACGCAACUUACCCAUUACAGGGGAAUAGCCCAGGGAAACUUGGAUUAAUACCCCAUAUUAUAUAGAGCUGGCAUCAGUUUUAUAUCAAAGCUUCGGCGGUAAUGGAUGGGCGUGCGGUUGAUUAGAUAGUUGGCGGGGUAACGGCCCACCAAGUCUACGAUCAAUAGCUGAUGUGAGAGCAUGAUCAGCCACACGGGCACUGAGACACGGGCCCGACUCCUACGGGAGGCAGCAGUAAGGAAUAUUGGGCAAUGGACGAAAGUCUGACCCAGCCAUGCCGCGUGAAGGAUGAAGGUCCUCUGGAUUGUAAACUUCUUUUAUCUGGGGCGAAAAUCACCCUUUCUAGGGUGCUUGACAGUACCAGAGGAAUAAGCACCGGCUAACUCCGUGCCAGCAGCCGCGGUAAUACGGAGGGUGCAAGCGUUAUCCGGAUUUACUGGGUUUAAAGGGUGCGUAGGCGGGCAGGUAAGUCAGUGGUGAAAUCCCCGAGCUUAACUCGGGAACUGCCGUUGAUACUAUCUGUCUUGAAUACCGUGGAGGUGAGCGGAAUAUGUCAUGUAACGGUGAAAUGCUUAGAUAUGACAUAGAACACCAAUUGCGAAGGCAGCUCGCUACACGGUCAUUGACGCUGAGGCACGAAAGCGUGGGGAUCAAACAGGAUU